rnacentral:rRNA from 1 species
AUUGAACGCUGGCGGCAGGCCUAACACAUGCAAGUCGAGCGGAUGAAGGGAGCUUGCUCCUGGAUUCAGCGGCGGACGGGUGAGUAAUGCCUAGGAAUCUGCCUGGUAGUGGGGGAUAACUUCCGGAAACGGGCGCUAAUACCGCAUACGUCCUGAGGGAGAAAGUGGGGGAUCUUCGGACCUCACGCUAUCAGAUGAGCCUAGGUCGGAUUAGCUAGUUGGUGGGGUAAAGGCCUACCAAGGCGACGAUCCGUAACUGGCCUGAGAGGAUGAUCAGUCACCCUGGAAAUGCGACACGGUCCAGACUCCUACGGGAGGCAGCAGUGGGGAAUAUUGGACAAUGGGCGAAAGCCUGAUCCAGCCAUGCCGCGUGUGUGAAGAAGGUCUUCGGAUUGUAAAGCACUUUAAGUUGGGAGGAAGGGCAGUAAGUUAAUACCUUGCUGUUUUGACGUUACCAACAGAAUAAGCACCGGCUAACUUCGUG